GUGAUCUGCCCAUGGCGCCUGAUUCUACAGCAAAUCGAUUGAUUGGAUUAGUUUCAUAUACAUCGGUGAAGUGCAGGUUCAGCUGUGGUUCUCAUAUAAGGAAGAGUGUCAUAGCUAUUGUCAAAAUUUAGCCUCCUUCGCUUUGAGAUGGCCAACUAUUGUGUGUUUAUGAAGAGAAGUGCCUAAUCU